UUUGGUUAUUAUUAACUGCUAUGGACAUUUUGGAAUUCUUGUGAAAUUUGAAUGCAGUAAAUAGAGACUGUCCCAAAGGAAUGACUGUUAAUUUUGAUUACUGUAGGUAAAAUAUUUUAUUACAUCUAUUUUAAUAUUUCAGUAUUUCUACAUGGCCACAAGGGGGCGUCAGAACUCCAGCUCAGCAGCAGUGACUGUUCCGCUCAGACUCUUCCAUCUGCUCUGCUGUCAUGAUGAAAGAACAAACAACCUACAUUGAAGAAAAAUCAUUUGACAAAGCUAAGUACUGCACUUCCUGCCGGCCAAAAUGGCUGCCAUGGUGGACCACACAUACAAAACCAUACACACUAAUCAACAACUGUCUUCAAAAAUGACCAUGGUCACAUAAUGCAACAAUUAGAAAAGGAAAAAAAAAGUGAAAAAGAAAAUUGGUUGAUGUGAAAAAGUAUAAAG